GACGAACGCUGGCGGCGUGCUUAACACAUGCAAGUCGAACGGAAAGGCCCUGCUAGCAGGGUACUCGAGUGGCGAACGGGUGAGUAACACGUGGGUGAUCUGCCCUGCACUUCGGGAUAAGCCUGGGAAACUGGGUCUAAUACCGGAUAGGAGCCAUUUUUAGUGUGAUGGUUGGAAAGUUUUUUCGGUGUAGGAUGAGCUCGCGGCCUAUCAGCUUGUUGGUGGGGUAAUGGCCUACCAAGGCGGCGACGGGUAGCCGGCCUGAGAGGGUGGACGGCCACAUUGGGACUGAGAUACGGCCCAGACUCCUACGGGAGGCAGCAGUGGGGAAUAUUGCACAAUGGGCGCAAGCCUGAUGCAGCGACGCCGCGUGGGGGAUGACGGCCUUCGGGUUGUAAACUCCUUUCGCUAGGGACGAAGCUUUUUGUGACGGUACCUAGAUAAGAAGCACCGGCUAACUACGUG
rnacentral:rRNA from 1 species